CCUCGAUCCCAGGACCCUGAGAUCAUGACCUGCUCCGGAGGCAGACGCUUAACUGACUGAGCCAUUCAGGCUCCCCCUUUUCAGAUAUUUAUUGAACUCUUUGAUUUUUUAAAAAUUUUUAAAAGAUUUUAUUUAUUUAUUUCUCAGAGAGGGUGCACAAGCAAGGGGAGCACAGUCAGAGGGAGAUGCAGACUCCCUGCUGAGCAAGGAGCCUGAUGCGGAACGCAAUCCCAGGACCCUGGGAUCAUGACCUGACCCGAAGUCAGACGCUUAACUGACUGAGCCACCCAGGGUCUUGGACCUCACUCUGAUAACCAUUGCUGCAUGUGUGCAGUGCGUAUUAAGCUCACAAGCAUCACGAUGAAGGGAAGAAGCCUGAGGAGUGUGGACAGCAUAGUUGCUACGAUGAAGUUCACCGGAAG
rnacentral:lncRNA from 1 species